CGCUGGUGACACGGGGGCUGCAUGCGUGAGCGUGCGGCUGAGAUGAGGCGAAGCCUCAACCGAACGAACGUAUACCGGGUAAUGCCGGCGCACGGAUGUCGCUCUUUUCCCGUG
rnacentral:ncRNA from 1 species